rnacentral:rRNA from 1 species
UACAGAGGGGGCAAGCGUUGUUCGGAAUUACUGGGCGUAAAGGGCGCGUAGGCGGCCUGUUAAGUCGAACGUGAAAUCCCCGGGCUCAACCCGGGAACUGCGUCCGAUACUGGCAGGCUUGAAUCCGGGAGAGGGAUGCGGAAUUCCAGGUGUAGCGGUGGAAAUGCGUAGAUAUCUGGAGGAACACCGGUGGCGAAGGCGGCAUCCUGGACCGGUAUUGACGCUGGAGGCGCGAAAGCCAGGGGAGCAAACGGG